rnacentral:rRNA from 1 species
AUACGUAGGGGGCAAGCGUUAUCCGGAUUUACUGGGUGUAAAGGGAGUGUAGGUGGUCUGGCAAGUCAGAUGUGAAAGCCCGCGGCUCAACUGCGGGACUGCAUUUGAAACUGUCAGACUGGAGUGCAGGAGAGGAAAGUGGAAUUCCUAGUGUAGCGGUGAAAUGCGUAGUUAUUAGGAAGAACACCAGUGGCGAAGGCGACUUUCUGGACUGUAACUGACACUGAGGCUCGAAAGCGUGGGGAGCAAACAGGAUUAGAUACCCUGGUAGUCCACGCCGUAAACGAUGGAUACUAGGUGUGGGGGGUCUGACCCCCUCCGUGCCGCAGCUAACGCAAUAAGUAUCCCACCUGGGGAGUACGAUCGCAAGGUUGAAACUCAAAUGAAUUGACGGGG